rnacentral:piRNA from 1 species
UAGUGAUGUCAGGUUUCGACAAGUGUU